GAUGAACGCUGGCGGCGUGCCUAAUACAUGCAAGUCGAGCGAACAGACGAGGAGCUUGCUCCUCUGACGUUAGCGGCGGACGGGUGAGUAACACGUGGAUAACCUACCUAUAAGACUGGGAUAACCUCGGGAAACCGGAGCUAAUACCGGAUAACAUGUUGAACCGCAUGGUUCAACAGUGAAAGACGGUCUUGCUGUCACUUAUAGAUGGAUCCGCGCCGCAUUAGCUAGUUGGUAAGGUAACGGCUUACCAAGGCAACGAUGCGUAGCCGACCUGAGAGGGUGAUCGGCCACACUAGAACUGAGACACGGUCCAGACUCCUACGGGAGGCAGCAGUAGGGAAUCUUCCGCAAUGGGCGAAAGCCUGACGGAGCAACGCCGCGUGAGUGAAGAAGGUCUUCGGAUCGUAAAACUCUGUUAUUAGGGAAGAACAAAUGUGUAAGUAACUAUGCACGUCUUGACGGUACCUAAUCAGAAAGCCACGGCUAACUACGUG
rnacentral:rRNA from 1 species